rnacentral:rRNA from 1 species
AUGCAGUUCCUCACCGCCUCCGCCGCGUGCUCCUCCUCCGCCCCGCGCCCCGCGCACCUCCUCCGCGUCUCGAGGCCCCCUCCCUUCCCCCACCUCCGCCGCCGACGCGCCCCCUACCUGCCCUCCGCGUCGCUCUGCCUAGCCGCCAGACCCCCGCUCCUCCUCGCCUCGCGCCGCUCCCUGCUCUUCACCCCCCGCGCCCACGGCGACCACCACCAUCACCACCACAAUCACCACGGGCAUGGGCACGGCCAUGGCCACGGGCACCAUGGACACGACCACGGCCACGGCGGGGCGGACGUGCACGGGGGAGGCGGGGGCGCGGCGGUCAUGCGGAUGGCGAGGGCGAUCGGGUGGGCCGACGUCGCCGACGCGCUGCGGGAGCACCUGCAGCUCUGCUGCAUCUCCCUCGGCCUUCUCCUCAUGGCCGCCGUCUGCCCGCACGUCCCGCUGCUCAACUCGGUCGGGCGCCUGCCGGCCGCGCUCAUCGCCGUCGCCUUCCCUCUUGUCGGGGUCUCUGCAGCACUUGACGCUCUUGUAGAUAUCGCAGAUGGAAAAAUAAAUAUCCAUGUCCUCAUGGCUCUUGCAGCAUUUGCUUCUAUAUUUAUGGGAAACUCAUUGGAGGGUGGUUUACUUCUUGCAAUGUUUAACUUAGCCCAUAUCGCUGAAGAGUACUUUACAAGCAAGUCAAUGUAUGAUGUGAGGGAACUUAAGGAAAAUCAUCCAGAAUUUGCACUGUUGUUAGAAACAAGUGGAGAUGAAUCGGCACACUUUUCAAAUCUGAAUUAUGCAAAAGUUCCUGUGCAUGACCUUGAAGUGGGUUCUCAUAUUUUGGUCAGAGCUGGUGAGGCUGUGCCUGUUGAUGGAGAAGUUUACCAAGGAUCAUCCACAAUCACCAUCGAACACCUCACUGGUGAAACAAAACCUGUUGAGAGGACAGUGGGGGAUGCUAUACCAGGUGGAGCCAGGAAUUUGGAAGGAAUGAUGAUUGUAAAGGUGACCAAAUCCUGGGAGGAUUCAACACUCAACAGAAUUGUCCAGCUGACUGAAGAGGGCCAGCUAAACAAGCCAAAGUUGCAAAGAUGGUUAGAUGAGUUUGGGGAGCAUUAUAGCAAAGUUGUCGUGGCUCUGUCUUUGGCUGUUGCACUACUGGGACCAUUCCUCUUUAAUUGGCCCUUUUUCGGUAACUCAGUUUGUAGGGGUUCAAUUUACCGUGGAUUAGGACUUAUGGUGGCUGCAUCUCCGUGUGCAUUGGCAGUAGCUCCAUUAGCAUAUGCCACUGCAAUCAGUUCUCUUGCAAGUAAGGGAAUUUUAUUGAAAGGUGGGCAUGUCUUAGAUGCCCUAUCUUCUUGUCAGUCUAUUGCUUUUGACAAGACAGGCACAUUAACAACUGGGAAGCUUAUGUGCAAAGCAAUCGAGCCUAUUCAUGGACAUUUGGAUGCGGGUAAUGGUGUUGACCCUUCUUGUUGUACUCCGAACUGUGAAAGUGAAGCUCUAGCUGUUGCUGCAGCUAUGGAGAAAGGAACAACCCAUCCUAUUGGAAGGGCAGUUUUAAAACACUCUGUUGGGAGAGACCUCCCAGUGGUUGCUGUUGAGAGUUUUGAGAGCUUACCUGGUAGAGGAGUUGUUGCUACUUUGAGUGGCAUAAAGGCAAGAGACAAUGAAAAUGAGUUUGCUAAGGCAUCUAUCGGUUCUGUGGAAUACAUUUCUUCACUAUACAGAUCUUAUGGUGAAUCUGAACAAAUAAAAGAGGCAGUAAAGUGUUCUGCAUUUGGUCCUGAAUUUGUCCAAGCUGCUCUCUCAGUAGAUAAAAAGGUAACCCUUUUCCACUUUGAGGAUGAACCCCGUACUGGUGUCUGUGAAGUUAUAUAUACCUUAAGAGAAAAGGCUAAACUUCGAAUCAUGAUGCUUACUGGAGAUCAUGAAUCAAGUGCUCAGAGAGUUGCUAAAGCUGUAUGCAUUGAAGAAGUUCACUUCUCUUUAAAACCAGAGGACAAGUUGAACAAAGUAAAAGCAGUUUCAAGGGAGGGAGGUGGAGGUUUAAUAAUGGUUGGUGAUGGUAUAAAUGAUGCCCCAGCUCUUGCAGCUGCAACAGUCGGUAUUGUUCUAGCACAACGCGCCAGUGCAACAGCGGUAGCUGUUGCAGAUGUUCUGUUGUUGCAGGAUAAUUUAUGUGUGGUGCCAUUUUGUAUCGCUAAAGCUCGUCAAACAACAUCAUUGGUGAAGCAAAGUGUAGCUCUUGCCUUAACCUGUAUUGUUUUUGCUGCACUUCCUUCUGUCUUAGGAUUUCUUCCUCUUUGGUUGACGGUUCUUCUCCAUGAAGGAGGAACCCUUCUCGUUUGCUUGAACUCAAUACGAGCUCUCAACCCCCCAACAUGGUCUUGGGCAGAUGACAUCCGACAACUCGUCCAUAGCCUAAAAAACUACGUCUCGGCAAAGUUGAAUAGCUCCUACUCAGAUUGCUCAGCUAGUACCGUUCCUUUGUAG